UCAUCAGCCAAACAAAGCCUCUGAUUGGACAGCAGAGCUCCACCUCCACACAAAGAGACGUUUUUAAAGUGUCAGUCCAAAGCAGCAGAGACAGAAGACUGAACACAAUGAGUCCAAAAAUUGUCAUCGCCUUCAUCGCCAUGGCUCUGCUCCUCAUGGCAUAUGAGGCUGAAGGAGGUUGGUCAGCUUGUGAGACGAUCGGUGGAUUCUGCAAACCUCCUGGAACAUGUGGCGUGAGGGGACACCUGAAUGCUGCCUGUCCUCCCGGAUUAUUUUGCUGUUUUUAUGCCUAACGAAGUACAAUGGAACAACAGCAUCAAUAAAUAACAACCUGACCUGCA